rnacentral:misc_RNA from 1 species
UAAUAAGUGUUUUAUGGCACUUUUUAAAUCCAUAUCCACCUUGUGUGCAAUGUCGGUCGAUCUUCUUCAUUGAGAUCGACCAAACAUCAACCUUUAUCUUUUAACUCUUUGUCUGAAAAAUAUUAUGAAUAAACAAUUCAAAAUA